UACGUAGGGCGCAAGCGUUGUCCGGAAUUAUUGGGCGUAAAGGGCGCGUAGGCGGUUUGUACAGUCAGGUGUGAAAUUCCCGGGCUCAACCUGGGGGCUGCACUUGAUACGUAUGGACUGGAGUGGGGAAGAGGGUCGUGGAAUUCCCAGUGUAGAGGUGAAAUUCGUAGAUAUUGGGAAGAACACCGGUGGCGAAGGCGGCGACCUGGUCCUUGACUGACGCUGAGGCGCGAAAGCGUGGGGAGCAAACAGG
rnacentral:rRNA from 1 species